CCUACGGGAGGCAGCAGUGAGGAAUAUUGGUCAAUGGACGAGAGUCUGAACCAGCCAAGUAGCGUGAAGGAUGACUGCCCUAUGGGUUGUAAACUUCUUUUAUAUGGGAAUAAAACGUUCCACGUGUGGGAUUUUGUAUGUACAAUAUGAAUAAGGAUCGGCUAACUCCGUGCCAGCAGCCGCGGUAAUACGGAGGAUCCGAGCGUUAUCCGGAUUUAUUGGGUUUAAAGGGAGCGUAGGUGGAUUGUUAAGUCAGUUGUGAAAGUUUGCGGCUCAACCGUAAAAUUGCAGUUGAAACUGGCAGUCUUGAGUACAGUAGAGGUGGGCGGAAUUCGUGGUGUAGCGGUGAAAUGCUUAGAUAUCACGAAGAACUCCGAUUGCGAAGGCAGUUCACUGGACUGCAACUGACACUGAGGCUCGAAAGUGUGGGUAUCAAACAGGAUUAGAUACCCUAGUAGUC
rnacentral:rRNA from 1 species